rnacentral:lncRNA from 1 species
CCUCCACCGUCACCCCUCCACCAUCCAUCUCAGGCACCACCAAAUUCGGCCACCGGACACCACUACACACCCCUUUCUCCACACAACACGCGUCAUCCACCGCGCGUAUGCCGGCAUCAACACCGCGCCUCCCUUACUACCAUCGAUCACCACCGGUCUGGCUCAACCGGCGUCAAUCGACGUCGGCGACACAAGCACUUCCAAAUAAGGGUACGCAUGUCUUCUCCCCCUUCUCACUUCAUGCCUAACAAGUCCAGAAACCCUAAAUGGCGAUGAGGUUUUCCACCGACGAUUAUCAGCAAUGACGACGUCGAUGAUUACCACAGUCCAUCAGAGGUACCCAAAUGUGACGGUUUUGAUUCGACUUCUUCUUCAGAGCUUUUCAUCUGUUUGUUGUAAUCGUCAUCGAUGCCUUUUCGCUUGCAGCUCCAGGGCUUAACAAAUGGGUCGGUCGUUGACCUUUCAUCUCAACAAUGGACAUAUUGAGUUGGAUUCAAAGGAGAAGCACAAGGCCAGGACACUGGUGGUUCGUCACUUUGGAUCUCAGGGUCCCCUAAAAGUCAACCUCAGACUUGGUACAAGACUUCACGGGAAUGGGGAAAGGCGAAACGUGGGUCAAUGGUCAAAUCAUCGGACGUUAUUGGUCUGCUAAUAUUGCUCCAAGUAACGGUUGCUCAGAUUGUAGUUACAAAGAA